GAGUGCAGCAGUACCAGGGCUCCUAUCGCUGCCGGUACCCCAACGGUGAGGGCCAUGGCGGUGGUGGGCCUGCCGUUCUCGGUCUUUCCGAACUCCAGCAGCGUCGCUUGGUGCUUCUCGGUGGGUCGCCCGUCGGGGUACUCCACCUCGACUUCAUGGUGGAGCAGUACCAUAUCCUGA
rnacentral:rRNA from 1 species